UACGCAGGGGGCGAGCGUUGUUCGGAAUUACUGGGCGUAAAGCGCACGUAGGCGGCUUUGUAAGUUAGAGGUGAAAGCCCAGGGCUUAACUCUGGAAUUGCCUUUAAGACUGCAUCGCUAGAAUCGUGGAGAGGUGAGUGGAAUUCCGAGUGUAGAGGUGAAAUUCGUAGAUAUUGGGAAGAACACCGGUGGCGAAGGCGGCGACCUGGUCCUUGACUGACGCUGAGGCGCGAGAGCGUGGGGAGCAAACAGG
rnacentral:rRNA from 1 species